AGGACUACAAGGGUUUCUAAUCCUGUUUGCUCCCCUAGCUUUCGCGCCUGAGCGUCAGUAUUAGGCCAGAUGGGCGCCUUCGCCACUGGUGUUCCUCCCGAUAUCAAUGCAUUUCACCGCUACACCGGGAAUUCCCCCAUCCUCUCCUAUACUCAAGCCUUACAGUAUGAGAUGCAGUUCCCUGGUUGAGCCAGGGCAUUUCACAUCUCACUUACAAGGCCGCCUGCACGCCCUUUACGCCCAGUAAUUCCGAACAACGUUCGCUCCCCCCGUAUUACCGCGGCGGCUGGCAC
rnacentral:misc_RNA from 1 species